AAAGCCUGAUGCAGCCAUGCCGCGUGUAUGAAGAAGGCCUUCGGGUUGUAAAGUACUUUCAGUUGUGAGGAAGGGGGUAACGUUAAUAGCGUUAUCUCUUGACGUUAGCAACAGAAGAAGCACCGGCUAACUCCGUGCCAGCAGCCGCGGUAAUACGGAGGGUGCGAGCGUUAAUCGGAAUUACUGGGCGUAAAGCGCAUGCAGGUGGUUCAUUAAGUCAGAUGUGAAAGCCCGGGGCUCAACCUCGGAACUGCAUUUGAAACUGGUGAACUAGAGUGCUGUAGAGGGGGGUAGAAUUUCAGGUGUAGCGGUGAAAUGCGUAGAGAUCUGAAGGAAUACCAGUGGCGAAGGCGGCCCCCUGGACAGACACUGACACUCAGAUGCGAAAGCGUGGGGAGCAAACAGGAUUAGAUACCCUGGUAGUCCACGCCGUAAACGAUGUCUACUUGGAGGUUGUGGCCUUGAGCCGUGGCUUUCGGAGCUAACGCGUUAAGUAGACCGCCUGGGGAGUACGGUCGCAAGAUUAAAACUCAAAUGAAUUGACGGGGGCCCGCACAAGCGGUGGAGCAUGUGGUUUAAUUCGAUGCAACGCGAAGAACCUUACCUACUCUUGAC
rnacentral:rRNA from 1 species